UACGGAGGGAGCUAGCGUUGUUCGGAAUUACUGGGCGUAAAGCGCGCGUAGGCGGCUUUGUAAGUUAGAGGUGAAAGCCUGGAGCUCAACUUCAGAAUUGCCUUUAAGACUGCAUCGCUUGAAUCCGGGAGAGGUGAGUGGAAUUCCGAGUGUAGAGGUGAAAUUCGUAGAUAUUCGGAAGAACACCAGUGGCGAAGGCGGCCCACUGGACCGGCAUUGACGCUGAGGUGCGAAAGGCGUGGGGAGCAAACAGG
rnacentral:rRNA from 1 species